rnacentral:rRNA from 1 species
GGGCUCACACAAGCGGUGGAGGAUGUGGCUUAAUUCGAGGAUACGCGAAGAACCUUAUCCUGGUCUUGACAUGUUUAGGAACCUCGGUGAAAGUCGAGGGUGCCCUUCGGGGAGCCUUUACACAGGUGCUGCAUGGCCGUCGUCAGCUCGUGUCGUGAGAUGUCGGGUUAAGUCCCUUAACGAGCGAAACCCCUAUCCUUAGUUGCCAGCAAUUCGGUUGGGGACUCUAGGGAGACUGCCGGUGUUAAACCGGAGGAAGGUGGGGACGACGUCAGGUCAUCAUGGCCUUUAUGACCAGGGCUGCACACGUCCUACAAUGGUGCGUACAAAGGGAAGCUAAGCAGUGAUGUGGAGCAAAUCCCAUAAAACGCGCCCCAGUUCGGAUUGCAGGCUGCAACUCGCCUGCAUGAAGCCGGAAUCGCUAGUAA